rnacentral:lncRNA from 10 species
UUGACAGUUUGGCUUCCCUGUUCUGGGUGGCAAAGCCUGUGGAGUACUCACCUACCUGCUGCAUGAAGGCAGCAUGGAGGGACUGUGGUGGAUUAUCUGCAAAGAUGGCCAAAAUUCUCUCAUCCCUGCAGGCACAUACAAGGUUGUUGCAUGGCAUAAGUAAAGUGACAGUUAUAGGAUACAUGCAACUUUUCAGUGACAAAGAUCUGUGCAGCAUCGACAGUACUGCCUAAUGAGGUUUCACCAUAAUGAAGUAUCACAACCAGUUUACAGACCAGAAAACUGAGACACAGGAAGGGGUGGUGACUUGAGCAAGGUGCAUCAGCUGAAAAGUUGCUAAAACUGCUGUGAGAUUCUGGCUAAGAAAGUUUCAUGAGAAGUUUUACAGAAAAAUGUGAACGGAAGACAGAACUAGAUAUAAAUUUGAAUGUUUUGAGAAGAAUGCGAAGAAGAAAGGAAGAGUGAGCCUCUCUUUCCCAUCGUUACCCUCCAUUGUCCUCUUGACACCCUGCUUUCACAGAGAAAGAGUUUGAGACCCUCUCCCAGGAGCCAAGGAGAGGGGAACAGCUGGCUUCACAUCAUCUUUCUAUUCAACAAGAUACAAAAAGCUGAAGCCAGGAUGAUAGAAAAGCAACAAAGAAGACACGGUCCUUACUCAUUUCCCUUCCCACUUCAGAGCAAAU